rnacentral:rRNA from 1 species
GAUGAACGCUGGCGGCGUACCUAAUACAUGCAAGUCGAGCGAACAGACGAGGAGCUUGCUCCUCUGACGUUAGCGGCGGACGGGUGAGUAACACGUGGAUAACCUACCUAUAAGACUGGGAUAACUUCGGGAAACCGGAGCUAAUACCGGAUAAUAUAUUGAACCGCAUGGUUCAAUAGUGAAAGACGGUUUUGCUGUCACUUAUAGAUGGAUCCGCGCCGCAUUAGCUAGUUGGUAAGGUAACGGCUUACCAAGGCGACGAUGCGUAGCCGACCUGAGAGGGGGAUCGGCCACACUGGAACUGAGAAACGGUCCAGACUCCUACGGGAGGCAGCAGUAGGGAAUCUUCCGCAAUGGGCGAAAGCCUGACGGAGCAACGCCGCGUGAGUGAUGAAGGUCUUCGGAUCGUAAAACUCUGUUAUUAGGGAAGAACAAAUGUGUAAGUAACUAUGCACGUCUUGACGGUACCUAAUCAGAAAGCCACGGCUAACUACG